GAUGAACGCUAGCGGCAGGCUUAACACAUGCAAGUCGAGGGGCAGCAUGAUUUGUAGCAAUACAGAUUGAUGGCGACCGGCGCACGGGUGCGUAACGCGUAUGCAACCUACCUGUAACAGGGGGAGUAACACUGAGAAAUUGGUACUAAUACCCGUAACUACUACGAAGGGCAUCCUUUGUAGUUGAAAGUUCCGGCGGUUACAGAUGGGCAUGCGUUGUAUUAGAUAGUUGGUGAGGUAACGGCUCACCAAGUCGACGAUACAUAGGGGGACGUGAGAGGUUAACCCCCACCCAUAGUU
rnacentral:rRNA from 1 species